CUCAGAUCAUGUAAGAUUUUAAUGAUCGAACAGAUCAAAAUUUUAAACUUUUGCAUUUAAAUUUUAUCUUAAUCCAACAUCGAGGUCGCAAACUUUUUUUUUUAUUUGAACUAAAAAAAAAUAUUACGCUGUUAUCCCUAAGGUAAUUUUUUCUUGUAAUCAUUAUUAAUGGAUCAUUUAAUCAUUUAUUUAUGUUUAAUUUUUAAAAAAAGUUAGUUUAAUUUUUCUAUCACCCCAAUAUAAUAAUUAAUUUUAUUUUAAUAAAAAUUUUUAUAUAAUUUUAAAAUAAAAAUAAAUAUAAAACUCUAUAGGGUCUUCUCGUCUUUUAAAAUUAAUUUAGCUUUUUAACUAAAAAAUAAAUUUCUAAAAAUAAAUAAGAGACAGUUUAUAUUUCAUCAAAUCUUUCAUACAAGUUUUCAAUUAAAAAACUAUUGAUUAUGCUACCUUUGUACAGUCAUUAUACUGCAGCCCUUUAAUAUUUAUCAGUGGGCAGAUUAGACUUUAAAUUAUAUUCAAAAAGAC
rnacentral:rRNA from 1 species